AUUGAACGCUGGCGGCAGGCCUAACACAUGCAAGUCGAGCGAGCGGCGGACGGGUGAGUAAUGUCUGGGAAAAUGCCUGAUGGAGGGGGAUAAAUGCUGGAAACGGUAGCUAACACCGCAUACCAUCAGAAGUGCACAGAUGGGAUUAGCUAGUAGGUGGGGUAACGGCUCACCGAGGCGACGAUCCCUAGCUGGUCUGAGAGGAUGGCCAGCCACACGGGAACUGUGACACGGUCCAGACUCCAACGGGAGGCAGCAGUGGGGAAUAUUGCACAAUGGGCGAAAGCCUGAUGCGGCCAUGCCGCGUGUGGGAAGAAGGCCUGCGGGUUGUAAAGCACUUUCAGCGGGGAGGCGGUACCCGCAGAAGAAGCACCGGCUAACGCCGUGCCAGCCGCCGCGGUAAUAC
rnacentral:rRNA from 1 species